CCUACGGGAGGCCGCAGUAGGGAAUAUUGCUCAAUGGGGGAAACCCUGAAGCAGCAACGCCGCGUGGAGGAUGAAGGUUUUCGGAUUGUAAACUCCUUUUGUUAGAGAAGAUAAUGACGGUAUCUAACGAAUAAGCACCGGCUAACUCCGUGCCAGCAGCCGCGGUAAUACGGAGGGUGCAAGCGUUACUCGGAAUCACUGGGCGUAAAGAGCGCGUAGGCGGGAUAGCAAGUCAGAUGUGAAAUCCUAGGGCUUAACCAUAGAACUGCAUUUGAAACUGUUAUUCUAGAGUAUGGGAGAGGUAGGUGGAAUUCUUGGUGUAGGGGUAAAAUCCGUAGAGAUCAAGAGGAACACUCAUUGCGAAGGCGACCUGCUAGAACAUAACUGACGCUGAGGCGCGAAAGCGUGGGGAGCAAACAGGAUUAGAUACCCGUGUAGUC
rnacentral:rRNA from 1 species